UGGGGUGUAACUCAGUUGUAGACCACAUGCCUAGCAUGCAUGAAGCCCUGGGUUCAGUCCCCAGUACCACAA
rnacentral:tRNA from 1 species